AUUAAUUUAAAAAUAUGUAAAAUUAAUAUUAAAUUAUUUUUAUUUUAGUCGACUUUCUCUCUCCCAUUUUAUUUGCUUCGUAUUUUCUCGCAUUUUCCUUCCAAGUUGCCUACAGGCUACAACCAGCCAUUUCGGUAAGAAUCCGAGUUGCCUAGAAAACCUUUGCACGAAGGUAAAAUGGGCUUUGGCAAACAAGGCCUUCCGAGUUCAUGGCACUGCUCAAAGCCCUAACUCAGCGAGUAUAAAUAUGGAGACAGCAUCGUUUUAACAAACCGCGGCCUCCUUCUCAGGUCAUUCUAAGCACAGCAGAUUGAGAAACUUUAAUGUUUCGCGAACCUCAGACUCAACAGAGUGUGAUCUCUUUCUCUUGCUUUUUGGUUCAAAUAUAUGUUUUGGGUCUCUUUCAAAAGAAUUGUUCAAGAUAACCCUUAUUUUUAUCAGGUAAGCAUUAGUUUGAAGCUGCA